rnacentral:rRNA from 1 species
AACGAACGCUGGCGGCAGGCCUAACACAUGCAAGUCGAGCGGACCUUUCGGGGUCAGCGGCGGACGGGUGAGUAACGCGUGGGAAUAUGCCCUUCUCUACGGCAUAGUCCUGGGAAACUGGGGGUAAUACCGUAUAGGCCCUUUGGGGGAAAGAUUUAUCGGGGAAGGAUUAGCCCGCGUUGGAUUAGGUAGUUGGUGGGGUAAUGGCCUACCAAGCCGACGAUCCAUAGCUGGUUUGAGAGGAAGAUCAGCCACACUGGGACUGAGACACGGCCCAGACUCCUACGGGAGGCAGCAGUGGGGAAUCUUAGACAAUGGGGGCAAUCCUGAUCUAGCCAUGCCGCGUGAGUGAUGAAGGCCUUAGGGUUGUAAAGCUCUUUCAGCUGGGAAGAUAAUGACGGUACCAGCAGAAGAAGCCCCGGCUAACUCCGUG